rnacentral:tRNA from 1 species
AUUUUUGUGGUGUAAAAGCACGUUAGGUUUUCAUCCUAAAAGAGUAAGUAUCGAUGUUACCAGAAAUA